rnacentral:rRNA from 1 species
CCUACGGGCGGCAGCAGUGAGGAAUAUUGGUCAAUGGACGAGAGUCUGAACCAGCCAAUUAGCGUGAAGGAUGACUGCCCUAUGGGUUGUAAACUUCUUUUAUAAAGGAAUAAAACGAGACACGUGUGCCUUUUUGCAUGUACUUUACGAAUAAGGAUCGGCUAACUCCGUGCCAGCAGCCGCGGUAAUACGGAGGAUCCAAGCGUUAUCCGGAUUUAUUGGGUUUAAAGGGAACGUAGAUGGUUUGUUAAGUUAGAGGUGAAAUCUGGAGGCUCAACCGUCAAAUUGCAAUUGAUACUGGUAGUCUAGAGCACAGUUGCGGUAGGCGGAAUUCGUGGUGUAGCGGGGAAAUGCUUAGAGAUC